UUACAAGUCCCCACCACCACCUCCAUACAAAUAUGAAUCCCCGCCACCUCCAGUCUACAAAUAUGAGUCUCCGCCACCCCCAGUUUACAAAUACAAGUCGCCACCACCACCAUACAAGUACGAGUCACCACCACCACCUCCAUACAAGUAUGAAUCCCCGCCACCUCCACCUUAUUACUACAAGUCCCCUCCACCACCACCAUACAAGUACGAGUCGCCACCACCUCCUCCGUACAAGUAUGAAUCUCCACCACCACCAGUUUACAAAUACAAGUCACCUCCGCCGCCACCUUAUUACUACAAAUCCCCACCGCCACCUCCAUACAAGUACGAGUCUCCACCUCCUCCUCCGUACAAGUAUGAAUCUCCACCACCACCACCUUAUUACUACAAAUCCCCCCCGCCACCUCCAUACAAGUACGAGUCACCGCCUCCUCCUCCGUACAAGUAUGAAUCUCCACCACCGCCAGUUUACAAAUACAAGUCACCCCCGCCACCACCUUAUUACUACAAAUCCCCGCCACCACCUCCAUACAAGUACGAGUCUCCACCUCCUCCUCCGUACAAGUAUGAAUCUCCACCACCACCUCCUUAUUACUACAAAUCCCCGCCGCCACCUCCCUACAAGUAUGAAUCCCCGCCACCACCUCCCUACAAAUACGAGUCACCUCCACCACCACCUUACUAUUACAAAUCUCCUCCACCGCCUCCAUACAAGUAUGAGUCGCCACCACCACCAGUCUACAAAUACGAGUCUCCGCCACCCCCAGUUUACAAAUACAAGUCGCCCCCUCCACCUUAUUACUACAAGUCUCCGCCACCCCCGCCAUACAAAUAUGAAUCCCCACCUCCACCUCCCUACAAGUAUGAAUCGCCUCCUCCUCCACCUUACUACUACAAGUCCCCUCCACCACCUCCCUACAAAUAUGAAUCCCCGCCACCACCUCCCUAUAAAUACGAGUCACCACCACCACCACCUUACUAUUACAAAUCUCCUCCACCGCCUCCAUACAAGUAUGAGUCGCCACCACCACCUCCCUACAAAUACGAGUCACCACCACCACCACCUUACAAGUAUGAAUCCCCACCUCCACCUCCGUACAAGUAUGAAUCACCUCCACCGCCUCCAUACAAGUAUGAAUCCCCUCCUCCACCUCCCUACAAAUACGAGUCACCACCCCCACCACCUUAUUACUACAAAUCGCCUCCGCCACCGGAGUAUCAAUCAC
rnacentral:lncRNA from 1 species